GAUGAACGCUGGCGGCGUGCCUAACACAUGCAAGUCGAGCGAUUCUCUUCGGAGAAGAGCGGCGGACGGGUGAGUAACGCGUGGGUAACCUGCCCUAUACACACGGAUAACGUACCGAAAGGUACGCUAAUACGAGAUAAUAUGCUUUAGUCGCAUGGCUGAAGUAUCAAAGCUCCGGCGGUAUAGGAUGGACCCGCGUCUGAUUAGCUAGUUGGUAAGGUAAUGGCUUACCAAGGCGACGAUCAGUAGCCGACCUGAGAGGGUGAUCGGCCACAUUGGAACUGAGACACGGUCCAAACUCCUACGGGAGGCAGCAGUGGGGAAUAUUGCACAAUGGGCGAAAGCCUGAUGCAGCAACGCCGCGUGAGCGAUGAAGGCCUUCGGGUCGUAAAGCUCUGUCCUCAAGGAAGAUAAUGACGGUACUUGAGGAGGAAGCCCCGGCUAACUACGUGCCAGCCGCCGCGGUAA
rnacentral:rRNA from 1 species